rnacentral:lncRNA from 1 species
ACUCCUCCAAUUAUUUAACACUACAAUUCCUACAAGCGUGGGUCGAGUUUGGCUAAAAAAUAAUGGAAUUGAGAAAAUACAGCUAAAAAUGGACACGGGUAUUCACGUGGUUCACCCAAUUUAGACUACGUCCAUGGACAAGUAUAGGAGGAUUUUGCUCUAGUAGGAGAAUUACACCACACUCACUAAAUACAAGGAGAUAACAACAAUUAAUCUAUUUUGUAA